AUGGAGGCCGACGGGAGGAAGGACGGCGAGACGCCGGCGGCGGCAGCGCAGAGGGGCGCGUCGUCGUUGGGCGUGUCCGUGCAGGAGGGCCUGCAGCACGCCAAGGCCAGCGUGGUCGGCGCGGUGCAGCAGGCGAUGGCGGGGAGCGAGGAGGAGGCGGCGCAGGCGGACCUGCGCGCGGCCAAGGCGCAGGUGGAGGCCACCGACGAGGCCGAGGCCAAGAAGAAGCACCUCGCCGGUGGUUGA
rnacentral:rRNA from 1 species